UAUUGAUUGACACCUGUCAAUUCACUCGACACAAACCAUGGCUGGCUGUGCAGUUCAUUGAACUAACAGACCGUCUCACAGCUCUGUUGUCAAGUUCUUCCGGUGAUCCUGAGAGGCUAGACCUGUGGGUGAUCAACAUGAAGAGACAGAACUGGAUUCCGAGCCUCUGCAGUCAACACUUGAGAGACAACACUUGAGCAAUGACAAAAGGGUGACUCAGACAGCCUGCACCAGUGGAUGUCCAACAUGAGGAGACAGAACAGGACUCCAACAAGACUGAACACUAAGUUUCAUCACCUAUGCACUGACUCCAAGAGCAGACCUGUUUUCAUACCUUACAAACAAUCAAAGCAAAGAUAAUGUUGAAGAACUCCAUACUGCAUUGUCUUGGUAGUGCACUGUUUAAUUCAAAUACAGAGUUGAAUAUCCACAGAAUUUUUUGGACCCUCUGGGUUUGUACCCUCAUAGUUGAACCACAUAUUGUAAGUAAGUUUGGAUCAAAGUGUCAACCAAAUGAAAUGUAAUGUACUGACAGAAAUAAAACAUAGUACAAAUAGAUAAAAUGUAUUUCUACCUCAUCUGUAAUAUUCAAGGUGAUAAUCUCCCACAGAGUUGUUGAAAACAGUCCACAUAAAGUCUCUCC